CUGUUUUGUUUUUAAUCACCAAACUGAUGUUUUAUCUCCAGAUAAUGACAAAUAUGGCUCAGACACCAGAGGUCCACAUGCUCCUGUUACACUCAUUCAGCACGGAGCACAAAUAAGUCACUUGUUAAUAUAUGAACUGUCAUGAAAGAAGCCACAAUUAUGCAUGAUUCAUCCCUACAAGCUAUGUAAAUCUCUGGUGUAUAUAUAUAUGAUAACAAAUGAGUGUUACUUGAUGGGAAAACACAGGUGCCAAGAGCUAGGACUUUCUGUGCUAUGGAUGUCAGGCACAGCAUCAGUGUUAACACCUCGGCUAACCCUUACCUUCAGGUAGAUGCAUUUCCAAAUUCUUGUCAAACAUCCUCUAUCAUUUCAGUCUGUCAGAGCACCGGCCAGCCCAGAUCUCGAUCUCACAGCAUUGUUGGAAGGUAAGAGAGCAGAGAAAGCACGUGCCUCCUCCCACAGCCCAAAGCACACGCUGCGCCCAGCCUCCCACCUUUCAGUUUUGCAUGAUCGAAUUUGGACCCGUGCCUACUCUCACCAUAGUGGUUACUAAAUAUUGGUCACAAACCAGAAAGGAGUUGCACUGACUCGUGGGGCAGCAGGCUCUGGAGACAGCCAUCAGCAGGAGAGCUUGGAAGCAGCAAACUGCGAGGUGCCUGAGACAGCACACAGCCUGAUAGAGCUGCUGGUAAAGCUUCAGGUGUGAUUUCACCCACGGAUGGCAUUUAGCCUGUGGUCCACGGGGAUCGAAAAGCCAGCAGCAGAGAGCACUAUGGCAUCAUCUCCAAAAGAGAGACAGCUGUUGGAAACACGUCUAGCAACCAAGCCAAGUGGGCCAGACAACAGAGGUCUGAAAGAUGUCCAAGAUCCUGACCUCCUUUCUGAACCGGUGGGUAUGUUUUUCUUUGUGUGUUUUUUUUUUUUUUUUUUUUUUUUAAGAUAUAUAGCAGAGUGAGGGCAUGGUAGAAAACUUGCUGGGGUUAUUGCCUCUUCCUUGCCUGUUUUUCCUCUCGAGUCUGGGUUAGUGUUUUCUUUUGGAGGGCUCGCUAACAAGCUGAGGUUUUCGUCUUAGUAGGUCUGCUGGUAGUACAGGACGUUCCCCUGGAUUUGUGAUUUCAAUGCAGGAUUUUCUUUAGAGAGUGAGGAAUUUUUUAUUAGAACCAGCGAGCCUACAGAACUGAACUGUAUCUAAAAAUAGAAGGGGUUGCUUUUUUUUAGAUGUUAAAAAUAGAGACGUAUAGAAAUGGUCAUGUAUAGGCUGCUUUUUACAAGAAGGCAGAGGUGCUCCAAAUGGAAACUUUUGCUAUCUGCCAUCUGACCAAG
rnacentral:lncRNA from 1 species